rnacentral:lncRNA from 1 species
UGAGUUUAGGGGGCACGUUAGGCUGCCGAAGGUCUUUGACCAGGCCACCUAUAAAGGGCCCUCAGAUCGGAAAUGGGUGAGUUUUCUCCCCAUUCUCGAGCUCAGGUGAGUUUAUGCCUUCCUUUGGUCGUUUUCGUGUUUUCUCUACCCAUCUCUCAAGUUUUUCAUGAUUUCUACCCUUGUGUUUGAAGAUUUAAAGCUUAAAAGGAG